rnacentral:lncRNA from 1 species
AUGAGAUUGGACAAUGGUGGCUCUAAACCAGAAGCAAAUGGAAUCCCUGAAGGUGAACACAAAGAGCUGGCACGUGUGAGAUUCUCUGCACAGGCCUGUCCCACUGAGUAUUGCUGUUCCACUGUGUGCUUUGGAAACUGUGACUCUGUAAGCAAUUAGAGAGAGAGGCCAGUUAAAGGCAAGGGAGAGAGAUGCCAGUUUGACUUACCAGACCUAGAUCGUCGAGAAGCAGGUACAAAAAGAAAACAACCUCAGGCAUGUUUUCAACUCUAUAACAAUGUUACCCAAACUUUUUAGGGAGAAAGAGGAAAGAAUGCUAUUUGUGUCCUUAGAAUGUUUGUCUGUAUAAAGGAGAAUGACAUACCUAAAACAAAAUGAAUUCCUACAGCAAGAUCUGCAUGCCCUCUUGAUUCUGGGACUAAGCAAAAGACCUGUUGGUGUUUGGACAGGUAGUCUUUCUAUUUAUUUAUUUAUGGCUUGAAAACUAAUGUAAUCAUCUCUGUCUUUCUGAGCUCUCUUUUCCUUGAAGUAACUUGGCACUUUCUAACAUUUGGGAAUGUCUGAUGGGCCCAGCAACAGUAAAUCACUUCUAAUUAGAGAAAGUUUGAAACAGUGCUGGGCUAAGAUGCUGACGUGAAAUGAACUUUACACAGGUUUCAGUAUUAAAACUGAAAGAUUUCUCAAUGCACACACAAAUGCUAGUGUCUGAGAUGAGAACUUUACUCCUUUCUUGGUAGUGAGUGAGAAAGAGAGAUAAUUUAUUAGAGCUUUAAUAGAGUUAACUUAGAUGUUGUUCUUGUUUACAAGAAUGCAGUGUCGAAGAAAAAGAAGAAGAAGAAGACGACAACAACAACAACGACAAACAUAAGUAUCUCCCACUGUCGUCCCCAAAAUUAGAUCAACAUUUAUGAAUGUGAGCUUAAGCCAUAGUAUCAAGUGGGAUGAAUGGGAGUUCAGUAGGGCUGGAUGAACUGUUCUGGUGCAAGUUGGUGGCAGCUCCCAAAUCAGCCACAUUUGAGUUUGCAAACAGAAGUUAGAUACUAUGAAAUUCAACAAAUAGAGGGCUUAAUCCUGCAAAUCCUUUGCUCACAGAAGUCCCAUAGCAGAGAAUUCUAUGCAUGAACCAUGCGCUCCAGUAUCCCAUUCUUGGAUUCCAGGU